UACGUAGGGGGCAAGCGUUGUCCGGAUUUAUUGGGCGUAAAGAGCGUGUAGGCGGCUUCUUAAGUCAGGGGUGAAAUCCUGGAGCUCAACUCCAGAACUGCCUUUGAUACUGAGAAGCUUGAGUCCGGGAGAGGUGAGUGGAACUGCGAGUGUAGAGGUGAAAUUCGUAGAUAUUCGCAAGAACACCAGUGGCGAAGGCGGCUCACUGGCCCGGUACUGACGCUGAGGUGCGAAAGCGUGGGGAGCAAACAGG
rnacentral:rRNA from 1 species